rnacentral:snoRNA from 1 species
ACGUGAACUGAUGACUGGAUAAAAAAAUUGUGGACAGGUUUGCUAAAGUAAUUAUGGUGAUAGAAAUGUACUAGCCUCAGAUGUUACUGAGGUUGCCCAUUCUAUCUUAGUACAGUG